rnacentral:rRNA from 1 species
GUGGGGAAUAUUGGACAAUGGGCGCAAGCCUGAUCCAGCAAUGCCGCGUGGGUGAAGAAGGUCUUCGGAUCGUAAAGCCCUUUCGACAGGGACGAUGAUGACGGUACCUGUAGAAGAAGCCCCGGCUAACUUCGUGCCAGCAGCCGCGGUAAUACGAAGGGGGCUAGCGUUACUCGGAAUUACUGGGCGUAAAGGGCGCGUAGGCGGCUCUGUUAGUCAGGCGUGAAAUUCCUGGGCUUAACCUGGGGACUGCGCUUGAUACUGCAGGGCUGGAGGCCGAGAGAGGGUGGUAGAAUUCCCAGUGUAGAGGUGAAAUUCGUAGAUAUUGGGAAGAACACCGGUGGCGAAGGCGACCACCUGGCUCGGUUCUGACGCUGAGGCGCGACAGCGUGGGGAGCAAACAGGAUUAGAUACCCUUGUAGUCC